GGAGAGGUGGCAGAGCGGCCGAAUGCGAUGGUUUUGAAAACCAUUAUGCCCGCAAGGGUAUCGUGAGUUCGAAUCUCACCCUCUCCG
rfam:Candidatus Nealsonbacteria bacterium RIFCSPHIGHO2_02_FTLL_43_13 rifcsphigho2_02_scaffold_7159, whole genome shotgun sequence.